UUUUGGAACCCGUGCGGCGGGAAUGCUGUGAACCUGGUCAGGUGGUGACCCAAGCAGCCAUAAGCAGUUGACCUGGGCGCCGGGACCUCUGAGGCGG
rnacentral:SRP_RNA from 1 species